GAAGACAGCUUACAGCCUGAUCACACCUGAUCUCCUCUGAGCUCAGAAGCUGAUCAGGCUGUAAGCUGUCUUCA
rnacentral:rRNA from 1 species